CCUACGGGUGGCUGCAGUCGAGAAUCAUUCACAAUGGGGGAAACCCUGAUGGUGCGACGCCGCGUGGGGGAAUGAAGGUCUUCGGAUUGUAAACCUCUGUCAUGUGGGAGCAAAUCAAAAAGAUAGUACCACAAGAGGAAUAGACGGCUAACUCUGUGCCAGCAGCUGCGGUAAGACAGAGGUCUCAAGCGUUGUUCGGAAUCACUGGGCGUAAAGCGUGCGUAGGCUGUUUCGUAAGGCGGGUGUGAAAGGCGCGGGCUCAACCCGCGGACGGCACAUGAUACUGGGAGACUAGAGUAAUGGAGAGGUAGCCGGAAUUCUCGGUGUAGCAGUGAAAUGCGUAGAUAUCGAGAAGAACACUCGUGGCGAAGGCAGGUUCCUGGACAUUAACUGACGCUGAGGCACGAAGGCCAGGGGAGCGAAAGGGAUUAGAUACCCUGGUAGUC
rnacentral:rRNA from 1 species